AUAAAAAAAGUAAAAGCCCGCCAAAAAAAAAUUUCUUUCUUUCCCAAUUCCCUCUUCUGGUAGACAUAAAAUUUAAAAUAAUUAAUUAAUUACCUAUUUGUUUUAAUAUUAGAAGAUUUCCAUUUAAGUAAAUAAGUUAGUAGAGGAAAAAUGAGCCAAAAAAGGAUAAAUAAGAGGCAGCAAGAGCUGCUAGUGGACAAACUGGACCAGAACCAGACUUUGGCUAGGGGUGAGUGAAAUAAGAGUAUUUUAUACUGUAUGUACCUAUUUACAACAUAUUUAGUGAUUGGAUAGUAGGUAGUUUUAUGGGUAAUUCUAUCUGUUGAUUACAUAAGACGCUAUCAGACCUACUUACAGUCCUACAUACCUCCUUUAAAACUGAUAUAAUUAUAAUUUAAGGUAAUACGGCAGAUCCUGACGUCAAAACGUUUUGGACGAAUUUGGCUGUACAGCUGAAUACUCUGGGUUGCUCCAGGACCGUCCGGGAGUGGCAACACGUAUGUAGGUAUCUUGACAUUUAUAAAUGUUAAUGGGAUAAGAUAGAUAGGUAACUAGAUAAGUAUUCUUUAUUUGUGCCUAAAAACGGAAUAAGUACAUUUAUUAUGGAUUUUAUUCCAAAACAAAGGUACAGAUGGCAUUUCAUACACUACAAGCGAUUUCUUCCAGACAACUUUGGAAGGAUACAUAGUUAUGUGAUGAAAUAAGUUUGAAUGUAGAAUACAAUUAGGUUUAUUUCUCAGGUUAAUUUAUAAAGAUAUGGUAUGAAAGGAUACAAUAAAAUUUGUUGGUACUUAAGUUAUCACUAUCAGACACGAGUCUAACGAGCUUAGUGUCAUUUUGAUAUUCCUACUUAACUUAGUAUAUAAACAAAAAACAUAAAGUUAUUCUCAACCUGCCCCGUUAUCUUAUAUCGAAUAUUUUUAAAACGUAGUUACCUAACUAUGUAUUUCUCGUGUCAAUCAGGUAUGGCAGGCGUGGGUGCAGAAGGUCCGAGGCAAGGCCAGAAAAGUGCGCGACGCUUUGACUGGCACAGGAGGAGGGCCUUCUGUACCGCCGAUGACCGACCAGGAGAAUGCAGUAUUUCUGGUAGAGCAGCUGUAUUCGGCUUUGCCGAUCAGGAGACGCCGUGGGAACCUCUUCGAAAUGAAGACACUGCUGUCCCUCGCAACGCGCCAAGGGCCUCACCACCGGCGGCGGCUCUAAUAGAUGACCCGUGGACCCCCCUGAAUGUGCCAGUAGUCUACCUUGACUCCCCGCCACAAUUCAGGGUGGCGCGGUCUCUGUGUGGUGAUGCACAAGAAAGGGGCAUAGAAAGGGCUGCACCGGACGCAGUUGAAUCGCCAAGACCCGCGCCUGUACCUCUGUCCCUGAGGUCAACCGCGUUCCACGGCGAAGAGCAGAGCGACGACCAUGCAGAGGCCAACCUGCCAACACGGAUAUGUACACGCAGCAGCUCCAGAGAAACUCCGAGGCUCUCCGCGAAGCCCUUACGGAAAGCGCGAAUACAAUUGCGAACGCAUUAUUGGAGUCUGGUCAAAUAAUUGCUCAGGCUAUAGACUCUCGUAGAUAAAAACGACAUAAUUUUUACCAUCAUUCUAAAUAUUUAAAAAUAUAAUAUAGAAAAUUGUCCGGAUACAACUGAUGUUCAGACUCGUAUUGAAAAAAGUGCCCAGCCAAAAAAGGUUUGUGAUCUCUGACAUGUCAAAAAUUUAUAACUGUCAGAAUUCCGUGAGAUUAAAGAUUAGAGAUUAAGUUGAAUACUUUUAACGCUGUCAGAUUCAAAAUUUAAAGUGACGUCUCUAAUUUUGGACCUAAGCGGUGCCUUCAGAAUGCCAAAUAAAUUUAGAGAGAUUGUAAGCGUUUUUUGACAGCGUUAAAAUUAGAAUGUGCCCUUCAGAAUCGAUACCAUUGUAGAUGUAGAUGUUUACAACGCUGACUGCAAGCAUGGAGAGUCAAGAAUUCUUCACAAAUUGACAGAUCAACAUGUUAUACCAGAAAAAAUAAAAAAAAUGAAGGUAACUUUAUGUAUUCC